GUCUUUUUGUGUAUAAUUUAAAGUCUGACCUGCCCACUGAAAUUUUAAAGGCCGCGGUAUUUUGACCGUGCGAAGGUAGCAUAAUAAUUAGUUUUUUAAUUGAAAGCUAGAAUGAAUGGUUGAACGAGGAAAUAGCUGUCUCUGUAUUAAUUUAUUAGAACUUUAUCUUUAAGUUAAAAAGCUUAACUGAGUUUGAAAGACGAGAAGACCCUAUAGAGUUUUAUAAAAUAGGGGAUUUUAAGUUAAUUGGAUUAUUUAUUUAAAAUUUUUGAUUUUAUUUUAUUGGGGUGAUAGAGAAAUUUAAUAAACUUUCUUUUUCUGAAGACAUUAAUGUAUGAUUUUUUGAUCCAUAUUUUAUGAUUAUAAGAUUAAAUUACCUUAGGGAUAACAGCGUAAUUUCCUUAAAGAGUUCUAAUCGAAAGGGGAGUUUGCGACCUCGAUGUUGGAUUAAAAUUUAUGUUUGGUGUAGAAGCUAGACAAUUAGGUCUGUUCGACCUUUAAAAUUUU
rnacentral:rRNA from 1 species